AGCAGCCGCCACGGUAAUACGUAGGUGGCAAGCGUUGUCCGGAAUUAUUGGGCGUAAAGCGCGCGCAGGCGGAUAGGUCAGUCUGUCUUAAAAGUUCGGGGCUUAACCCCGUGAGGGGAUGGAAACUGCUGAUCUAGAGUAUCGGAGAGGAAAGUGGAAUUCCUAAUGUAGCGGUGAAAUGCGUAGAUAUUAGGAAGAACACCAGCGGCGAAGGCGACCUUCUGGACGAAAACUGACGCUGAGGCGCGAAAGCCAGGGGAGCGGACGGGAUUAGAUACCCCCGUAGUCCCUGUCUCUUAUACC
rnacentral:rRNA from 1 species